AAAUUAAUUUUGUAAUAUUUUUGUUCAACCAACAAAUUUGCUUAAUUUAUAAUUAUACAUCUUUGCUUUAGCUUUCACUAACAAGCUUUUUUUUCAAAUGUUUCAAAUAGUUUUGCCACAUGUUUAGUUAUGAUGAGUUCUUUCAAAACGUUUAUGGUAUGGAGAUAAAUUAUAACCCCAAAAUUUCAAAGUUGAUGAAAAAAGAUAUAAAUUUUUUUCUGUUUAGCGCCUUUUUGUAAAGCAGGAGCAUUUUUUUCCUGAUAUGAUUGAUAUUAUCUCUACAGAAUAAAUACAGGUAAAGAAAUAAAGUUAUGAGUGGAGCACAUACAUUGUACCUUAAAAACAACUAAAAAUUCAGGGUUAAAAAAAAAUUAAAUGGUCGUCACAUGUUCAAGGACAAUUAAAGUUUUAGAAUGAAUUAAGGAUGGCGUAAUAUUUGACAAUUUAUAGUUUGUUUCCAUGUCAGUUGUCUCCCUUGUGAUUUGUUGUGUUUGCUUACUAGUUACUGUCUGUAAAUUUGGUAAAUUUAUUUUUACCAAAAUUUCUAUUAAAAG
rnacentral:lncRNA from 1 species